ACCUUUUGGUGGGGAAUAACCCUGGGAAACCGGGGCCAAUACCGCAUAAGCUCGAAAGAGGAAAGGAGCAAUUCGCCGAAAGAGGAGCCCGCGGCUGAUUAGCUAGUUGGUGAGGUAAAGGCUCACCAAGGCUAUGAUCGGUAGCCGGCCUGAGAGGGCACACGGCCACACUGGCACUGAAACACGGGCCAGACUCCUACGGGAGGCAGCAGUGGGGAAUCUUGCACAAUGGGGGAAACCCUGAUGCAGCGACGCCGCGUGAGUGAUGAAGCCCUUCGGGGUGUAAAGCUCUUUCGGCAGGGACGAUAAUGACGGUACCUGAAGAAGAAGCUGCGGCUAACUACGUGCCAGCAGCCGCGGUAAUACGUAGGCAGCGAGCGUUGUUCGGAGUUACUGGGCGUAAAGAGUGCGUAGGCGGUUUUCUAAGUUUGGUGGGAAAUCUCCCGGCUUAACUGGGAGGGUGCGCCGAAGACUGGAAGGCUUGAGUAUGGGAGAGGUAAGCGGAAUUCCUGGUGUAGCGGUGAAA
rnacentral:rRNA from 1 species